rnacentral:rRNA from 1 species
AAACUUUCAACAACGGAUCUCUUGGUUCUGGCAUCGAUGAAGAACGCAGCGAAAUGCGAUAAGUAAUGUGAAUUGCAGAAUUUAGUGAAUCAUCGAAUCUUUGAACGCACAUUGCGCCCCUUGGUAUUCCGAGGGGCAUGCCUGUUCGAGCGUCAUUA